GAUGAACGCUGGCGGCGUGCCUAACACAUGCAAGUCGAACGAACAGAUGAUGAUCUUGCUCCUCUGACGUGAGCCGCGGACGGGUGAGUAACACGUGUAUAACCUACCUAUAAGACUGGUAUCACUUGGGAAAAGCGGAGCAUAUCCCGUAUAAUCUAUUGAACCACAUUGUUCAAUGGUGAAAGUCGGUGUUGGUGUCACUUAUAGCUGCAUCUGCGCCGCAUUAGCUAGUUGUUAAGGUAACGGCUUACCAAGGCAAGGAUGCGUAGACGACCUGUGAGGGGGAUCGGCGACACUGGAACGGAACCAGGGUCAAGACUCCUAAGGUAGGCAGCAGUAUGGAAUCUUACGCAGUGGGCGAAAGCCUGACGCAGCAGCGCGGAGUGAGUGACGACGGCGUUCGGAUCGUAAAACUCUGUUAUUAGGUAAGAACAACUGUGGAAGUAAAUGUGCAGGUCGUGACGGUACCUAAUCAGGAAGCCACGGCUAACUACGUG
rnacentral:rRNA from 1 species